CAGAGCCCUGGGGCUUCUCAGAGGAAAUCUGUGAGGUGGAGUGAAAAGCCAGCGGUCCUUUCUACAAUAUCAGACUCUGCAUUAUGCCUGCAUACCAAGAAGACAGAGAGGAAGACACAUGUACUAUUGGGGAGGGAGAAAAGAACAUUGCUACUCAACGAAUCAAGGGAUUUGGUGGGGAGAACCCAGUCCUUCCUGAAAGCCCUCCCGCAUCCAUGUCUUCAGUGAUGAAGAACAACCCGUUGUAUGGUGACGUGAGUUUGGAAGAAGCCAUGGAAGAACGGAAAAAGAAUCCUUCAUGGACCAUUGAGGAAUACAACAAGCACUCUGUGCAUUCCAAU
rnacentral:lncRNA from 1 species